rnacentral:rRNA from 1 species
ACGAGAUGCCCACAGUAGCGGCGAGCGAAGAGGGCAGAGGGCAAACCGGGGAGCUACGGCUCUCCGGGGUUGAGGACUGCAUUUAGUCUCAAUGGUUUAUCCGAACUACCUGGAAAGGUAGGCAACACAGUGUAAAAGCCACGUAGGUUAAAGGCCAGAUAGAUGAGCAGUAUCCAGAGUACCACGAGGCACGAGGAAUCUUGUGGGAAGCCGGGGGGACCACCCUCCAACCCUAAACACUGAAUGGCGACCGAUAGCGCAUAGUACCGUGAGGGAAAGGUGAAAAGAACCCCGGGAGGGGAGUGAAAGAGAACCUGAAACCGUAUGUCUACAAGCAGUCGGAGCGAAAGCGACGGCGUGCCUAUUGAAGAAUGAACCAACGAGUUACGUGCACUAGCGAGGUUAAGUGGAAGACACGGAGCCGAAGCGAAAGCGAGUCUUAAGAGGGCGGAUAGUUAGUGUACGUAGACCCGAAACCGCAGUGAUCUACCCAUGUCCAGGUUGAAGCGCAGGUAAAAUUGCGUGGAGGACCGAACCUAUGAGCGUUGAAAAGCUUUAGGAUGAGAUGUGGGUAGAGGUGAAAUUCCAAUCGAACGCGGAGAUAGCUGGUUCUCCCCGAAAUAGCUUUAGGGCUAGCCUCAAGUAGUAAGUAUAGGCGGUAGAGCACUGAUCGGGCUAGGGGCCAUAAAGGUUACCGAACCCUGUCAAACUCCGAAUGGUUAUACUGUAGAGCUUGGGAGUCAGACUACGAGUGAUAAGAUCCGUGGUCAAAAGGGAAACAGCCCAGACCACCAGCUAAGGUCCCCAAUGUCGUACUAAGUGGAAAAGGAUGUGGGGUCUCUAAAACAACCAGGAUGUUGGCUUAGAAGCAGCCACCAUUUAAAGAGUGCGUAAUAGCUCACUGGUCGAGAGACCCUGCGCCGAAGAUUACCGGGGCUAAAGUACGAAACCGAAGCUGUGGCUACGACUUAGGUCGUGGGGUAGGGGAGCGUUCUGUGAGGGCUGAAGUCGUUCUGUAAGGAACGGUGGACUUCACAGAAGUGAGAAUGUUGGUAUGAGUAGCGAAAAGAAUGGUGAGAAUCCAUUCCACCGAAAGCAUAAGGAUUCCUGGGCAACGAUCGUCGUCCCAGGGUAAGUCGGGACCUAAUCCGAGGCAUGGAGCGUAGGAGAUGGACAACUGGCAGAUAUUCCAGUACCGGUAAUGAUUGUUUGAGCGAUGGAGUGACACAGGAGGGCAGGCAGGCAGGAGAUUGGUUGUUCCUGUACAAGCGUGUAGGAUGGGACGUAGGCAAAUCCGCGUCCUGUGAGUCUGAGGCGUGAUGUGGAGGUUCCAGAAAUGGAACUGAAGCUGCUGACCCCACACUGUCGAGAAAAGCUUCUAGUUAGAGAAUUACCGCCCGUACCGUAAACCGACACAGGUAUGCGGGGAGAGAAUCCUAAGGUGCGCGGGAGAACCCUCGUUAAGGAACUCGGCAAAAUGUACCCGUAACUUCGGGAUAAGGGUAGCCGCUGUUGUGAAGUCUGAACAGACGGAGCAUGAGGCGGUCGCAGAGAAGAGGCCCAAGCGACUGUUUACCACAAACACAGGUGCCUGCUAAAGAGAAAUCUGACGUAUAGGUGCUGACACCUGCCCAGUGCCGGAAGGUUAAGGAAGGAUGUCCGGAGCAAUCCAAAGCAUUCGACCGAAGCCCCGGUGAACGGCGGCCGUAACUAUAACGGUCCUAAGGUAGCGAAAUUCCUUGUCGGGUAAGUUCCGACCCGCACGAAAGGUGUAACGAUUUGGGCACUGUCUCAACGAGGGACCCGGUGAAAUUGAAGUACCUGUGAAGAUGCAGGUUACCCGCGACUGGACAGAAAGACCCCAUGGAGCUUUACUGUAACCUGACAUUGGGUUCUGAUACAUCACGUACAGGAUAGGUGGGAGGCAUGGAAGCGAGGACGCUAGUCUUCGUGGAGCCGCCGUUGGGAUACCACCCUUGAUGUAUCGGAAUUCUAACCGUAGGAGUAACGAAACUCGGGACAGUGUCAGGCGGGCAGUUUGACUGGGGCGGUCGCCUCCCAAAGA